GCAUUGGCCCCGCCGCCGGAUGCAGAGGCACCGUGCGCCAUGCCCGGACUCACCCCAAUCACUCCAAGCUUGAGAGAACCAAAGUCGUCGCCUCGGCCAUCCCCUCUGCGCGCCGUGUACGCAAAUAUCCUUGUACACCGACGCCAACAAGCUGGGGAUCGGGGCAGCACUGCAUCUCCUGGUGGAUGUCCGCGGCGUGGCCUGGAGGCGGCAUGAUUUCUAUCCCAACUGCCGGCCACGCGACCAUCCGUGUUGACCCUGGGCACAGAUCCUUGUUUUCUCCGCCAUGGAAGCCAAAGAUAAAUAACCAAAUCCAAGAGUUGAUAAAUAUUGUAAAGAUUUGUUCAGCUGUGGAGAUUCAUGGCGAUGAGUAUCUGAAAACAGACUAGGACAGUACAUGGACAUGAGCAAAUCAGCAAUUCGUGAUGCGUAUGCAAGGUGCUGUUGAAUAUGUGUUCUGUAUCAUUUUUCUACUACUAGAAGAACACGAUUUCCUUGCAAAGUCAGCUUAUCUGAAUUCAAUUCGAGUUCCAUCCUAGAUGUGCUUGUCACUGUCACCUUGCAGAAUCGUAUCAAUCUCUUGUGCAAGGAUUCUGCCGGCCUACAGUUUCUUCAAGUAAAUUCAAGGGCAAGAGUAUACCAUUGUAUUCAAAAUGGAAAUGGAAUAUUUCUAUUAGUCUGCGGCCCUGAUAUAAACUACCAUUUGUGUCUCUAUGUAUUACUCAUAUCCAAUUUUCCAAAUUUAUUUCUGCCAAUUGUUUUACUUAGAUCACUCAUUCUUUAAUUCUGAAUUAAUUUCAUUCGGUGCAGAUUUUCUCUUUUCAUUCAAGACGAGAAAUGCUAUAACUAAAUCCAUGUAUUCUGAAGAUGAGCGAAUACCGAAUACCAGUACCAGAGUAAUCUUGAGGGAUCAGAAGCAUAUGCUGAUGGCAAAUAUUCCGAUCUGCAUCUUCAUGACAAAUGGUGAUCCAAACGCUAGGCUGAGAAAAGAGAUUUGAUGUUGACAACAAGCAUCAAGAAGAGGGCGGAGCAGAAGGAAGCUCAGAGGAAAACAAGAGGGCAAACUAAGUCACCAUGCAAUUAGAAAUCAACUAAAGCAUGUCUAUAAUUUUUUUCAUGCACAAACACUUCACAACUACCUAAGUAAUAUCUUCAAUCGAAUUGGAAUCUAAAUGUUUAUAAAAUAGUACAUGUGACUGUUCAAGAACACACGGGAUUAACCGUGGCAGCGCACGGGCAUUCAACUAGUA